AUUGAACGCUAGCGGGAUGCUUUACACAUGCAAGUCGAACGGCAGCGCGGACUUCGGUCUGGCGGCGAGUGGCGAACGGGUGAGUAAUGUAUCGGAACGUGCCCAGUAGCGGGGGAUAACUACGCGAAAGCGUAGCUAAUACCGCAUACGCCCUACGGGGGAAAGCAGGGGAUCGUAAGACCUUGCACUAUUGGAGCGGCCGAUAUCGGAUUAGCUAGUUGGUGAGGUAACGGCUCACCAAGGCGACGAUCCGUAGCUGGUUUGAGAGGACGACCAGCCACACUGGGACUGAAACACGGCCCAGACUCCUACGGGAGGCAGCAGUGGGGAAUUUUGGACAAUGGGGGCAACCCUGAUCCAGCCAUCCCGCGUGUGCGAUGAAGGCCUUCGGGUUGUAAAGCACUUUUGGCAGGAAAGAAACGUCGCGGGCUAAUACCCCGUGGAACUGACGGUACCUGCAGAAUAAGCACCGGCUAACUACGUG
rnacentral:rRNA from 1 species